rnacentral:rRNA from 1 species
GUUGUAAUCUAUAGAGGCGUUUUCCGUGCCGGACCGUGUCCAAGUCUCCUGGAAAGGAGUAUCAAAGAGGGUGAUAAUCCCGUACUUAACACGACCACCGGUGCUCUGUGAUACGUCUUCUACGAGUCGAGUUGUUUGGGAAUGCAGCUCAAAAUGGGUGGUGAAUUCCAUCUAAAGCUAAAUAUUGGCGAGAGACCGAUAGCGAACAAGUACCGUGAGGGAAAGAUGAAAAGCACUUUGGAAAGAGAGUUAAACAGUACGUGAAAUUGUUGAAAGGGAAACGAUUGAAGUCAGUCGUGUUCUUUGGAUUCAGCCAGUUCUGCUGGUCUACUUCCUUGGAACGGGUCAACAUCAGUUUUGUCCGGUGGAUAAAGGUAGUAGGAAUGUGACUUCUCCGGAAGUGUUAUAGCCUAUUAUCACAUACACUGGGUGAGACUGAGGACUGCAGCUCGCCUUUAUGGCCGGCCUUCGGGCACGUUCGAGCUUAGGAUGUUGACAUAAUGGCUUUAAACGACCCGUC